AUGGGCAAGGGAGGUGAGAUCACUCUUAGACAUACUAAGUCUUUGAAAGAAGCUGUGGGUGAAGAUCAGGUAUUACUCCCAGCCUUGGUGGGCAGAUCAGAACACGCUCUGAGCAGAGGAAGAAGAAGUUGGCCUAGUGGAAUUGGAGAGCUCCAUUUUAUAAUCAGCAGCUCUUUCUUAACACUUCAGAGCCCUGCAUCCACAGCAGGUCCAAUCCAGCUGAGGACUUCCAACUGCAUUGCUGAAAAGCAGUCAUCCUCUGGUCACCUGGCACUGAAUCAGGGUGGAGGGAAGGAAGACCAAAAGGUAGAAGCAACCCAACUGUCCGUGGACAGAUGGAAGGAUGGGCAGACAAGCAAAAUGUGGUCUAUCCACACAAUGGAUUAUUAUUCAGCCUUAAAAAAGGUAGGACAUUCUGACACAUGCUACAAUAUGUAUGAACUUUGA
rnacentral:lncRNA from 12 species